UGCGAGGUGCGUGUAUCUGGCAAUUUCUUGUUUAGUUGCUUCACAAAAUUAUCCCUAGUACUGCAAUUAAAUUUUGUCACUGGGACACACCCCUCUGUAAAAUUUAAACGACUCCAAGAGGUAAGAUUUUUGGGUUGAUAUCCUUCUAAACACUCACAACGAGAGGGCUUAUCAAUGUUACAGCUACCAUAUGCUCCACAGUGUGCAUAAACAUCACAGUAAUCAGCCUGGAGAAAUAUGUACUGCUCCCACACAUUACUUUGAUCAGUCCAUGUAUAACGUAUUACUCGUCCAUCAGGCUCUAUAAUUGCCCUCGUAAGCAUCGAGCUACUGACAAGUUCAUACUUAUAAUAUAUCUCAUGCUCAUUCAAGACAAACUGACUCACAAAUACGUCAUUUGGACCCGAAGUAGGAACACCGCUGAGUCUAACACCAUUCCAGGGACCAGUUCGGAAAUAUCUGACAGAACCAUUCAAUAGAAAUAUUUGUGGAUAACCACUGAUAUCAAGAUCAACCUGGAAAUUGCCUGGAGAAGGGUCAUCACUGCUUUUCCAUGACCUGCAGGACCAAUCUCGGGCAGUUGAUGAGUUCUUUGCUAUCUUUUUUCCUAGCUUCAUGCCUGGUAGGAGAGUAUUGUCAGGAAAGUCAAAACUUUGCCAAAGAUAAUUACCUGCAUCAGGGUCAUCACCUGCCCUGAUUACAAGAUUUCCUGUCUUUAAUAACUGUGCCACAGGAUUCUUUAUAGAAUAUGACGAGUUUGAUGACCAAAUUGUGCUGUUUGUGCCUUUGGAAAUUUUAAGAGUGCCCUCACUACUUAAAACUAGAGUCCCUGAUACGUCAGUAAGGGGAGCAUCUCGAUUGGCAACCCACACGAUUGCCUGACCUGCCUUCUUGUAUCGUAUGCUCAAGUACCGAUUCUUUGAACUGCCCGGACUAAAGAAACCAAGUUCAAACUCAUCACCAGCUGAAACAAUGGUUUCAUUAUUUUCUAUUGUCUGGUUUGCACGAAGAGUGUCUCCUGCACUGGAUGUGACUAUAAACGAGCACAAAAAGCAGCAGAACAAGACUAGCAUAAAGCAUUUCUUCAUCAUAGCCAUGUUUACAAGCACUUUCAACUUCAAUGCUAUAAUGCUUACCUUCAUAAAAGAAUGGAAGUACUUCUGACCUCCCACGCAGACUUAAUGUUGCAUUAACAUUCUAUUUUAAUCCUCUGAAAUGUUUUUCAUAUAUGGUGAGGUAAGGUUGUGAAGAGACUCUAUCUUCAACUUAGACAAUUUUAAAAAAGAAAAAAAAAUAAGUUAUGACCUUAGUAUGAACUUCCUCGAUGCUUCGUUGACAGUAGAUCUUAGUAUAAGAUAUAUUGAACCGUUCUUCUGAUACUCAAGUUUUGAGACACUUGGUAACUUAACACAAUGCAAUGAUACAUUCAACCAAAUAUUAAAAUGCUGUUUUCUACAGAGUGAACUUCGUCAGGACUUCGUGUAAGAUUAUUUAUGCAACUGCAGAAUUAUUUUUGUUAUCAGGUAAGAUGACUUGACUCCUGAGGAUUACAAAAUAAGAUCACAUGAAUCAGGGAAUGACAGACAACAUGUCUUACUUUGUGCAAAUCAUACUUAAAUGUGAACUAAAAUAUUGCAGGGGCUUAUUUAGACAUUUUAACAAUAUUUAGUCAAAUUAGAGCAGAUAAUACAUUUUUUUUAGUUGACAAGAGAUGUUUGCCCAGCACGUCCAUCACUUUAGAGGUGAUAAUAUAUGGAAAGGAUAUAGUCUCUGAUAAAAAUCCAAAUGUACUCAGAAAAUCUAUUUCAAAUUUGAGAUUAAUAGGCAACAUUUUGCUAUUUUUUUAGCAAUUCAUUCUUUUUCAUCUUUUUUUAUUUUGAACAUGUAAUUAGUAUUUUUUACAAAGUAGCCAUAAUUUUUCUGAAAUUAUAAAAAACGGAAAUCGCAGUUGCAUUUUCGAAUCCAAGUACUCGGCCGCUUUCCGAGUAAUCAUUUUCAACAUUCUCAACCCAGUACUUGGUUAAUUUUGACUUGGUUGGCCUCCAAUUUCCAAGUACUCGGCCGAGUCAACCGAUUUCUACGACACAUAAUUUUUUUUAACACACACUAUUAUGAAGUUCUAUAUCCGCCAUUCAUGAUCUUGGGUCUUAGUGGAUUAAUGAAUGGACAGAGGAAGGAAACAGUUUAAACCUCAAGAUAUGAAUUACAUUUGUUUCUGAAACAUUCUAUGCCACCCAAAUAAAUAAAAAUAAUAUCUAGGAUAUUUGAGAUGUUGCAGAUAGAACAACUGAUAUAAAUCGCGUCAGCAGGUAAUUUCUGUUGCUUUCCUCACUUGCUACUAAUAAGCCUUCUGGAACUCAGCUGAUCCACAUUGUUAUAAUUCUCCAUGAUAACGAUCUUUUGAAUGUUUUUAGGUGCCUAGUAAUUAUUAGGUAUUUAGAUCCUUUGUUUCUGUAAACUUACGAUUGAUUGCAGAAAAUGAUCAUCUCAUUGGAGGGCAAGGCAUGAUAUAUUUCAAUGGUAGAACCAAAAUGAGCGAAAAGAAAAUUGGCUGUCUAUGCAAGGCAAAUCAUUUCCUAAUUAAAACAAAACAGUUGGUCUGCUAAUUGAAAAAAAAAACCAGAAUUCCAUAUUGCUUGUGAAUUCUAGCGAGGUGCAACAAUUGUAAUGGUUUGGUUCGAUGAAGACAAACAAAGCGUGCUAUGGGAAGUAUCUGCUUCGUCAAGUUUUCUUUCAUUGAAGAAACCAGGCUGUUUCGGAUGAGGCAGCGUGGCCUUACUUGUCAACAUCAUUAGUACUGAUGACAUGUUCGGUCUGUCCUCUGGAUAUUGUUGAACGCAUAGUAAUCCUAUUAGAAUAACUCGAAACACUUCAUCUUGGUCACUUGACAGGACUGAUACAUCAAUGAGUUCUGAAAGCCUGUUUUCUUUAUAACUCUUCCAUGCCUGGACAAGUAGAAAUUGCCGUUUUGUAGUAAGCUUUUGAAGGUAGUAUUGUACAGAAAGGUACAAAGGGAGUUGCCAGAUUUUUACUUACAUGGCCCAUAAGAUUAAGGUUGUGGUCCGGAUGAGUGAAGAAUCUGUUUUUCUUCCCACUAACAAUCUCUAUCACCAUUCACCAGUACACCAAAGCUAUAGACAUCGGAUUUAAUUGAAAAUGCUCCAUCCAUGGCAUACUCAGGGGACAUGUAGCCGCUGCAGGUUGGAUGAAGAUAUUAUUUAAUGACUUGAAAAAAUAAAGAAAAGAAAUUAAUUAUUAACACUGUUGUAGAAAGUCUUACUAUGUUCCGACCACCCUUGCUGUGUUUGAUUCAGUUUCACCAUCUCCAAAACUUCUAGCCAUGCCAAAAUCUGAGAUUUUGGGAUUCAUAUUAUAGUCAAGAAGGAUGUUGCCAGCUUUAAGAUCUCGAUGAAUAACUCUUAGUCUGGAGUCUUCAUGAAGGUAAAGUAGUCCCUUGGCAAUGCCGUUUAUUAUGUUGUAACGCUUAGGCCAGUCUAGUAAUGCUUUUUUUGCAUUAUCUGCCAUGUUUGACAAGUUCAUUGUUUGUUUGAAAUAUCUUCAUGAAAAAAGGUAAAAAGAGUGUACAAAUAAUGCUACUCCAGAUAAUGGACUAAGAAGGUCAAGAUAAUUGUACCUCCAAAUACAAAGCAAUCUAAGCUUUUGUUGGGCAUAUAUUCAUAGACUAACAUCCUUUCUCCUUCCUCAGUGGUGGACCAACCAAGCAGCCGAACCAGAUUGCGGUGUUGAAGCUUGGCAAUGCAAGAUACUUCAUUUCUGAACUCUUCUACUCCUUGCAUUGAACAUGCUGAGCGCCUCUUUACUGCUAUUUCUUUCCCAUCUUCCAGAGUACCCUGCAAUUCAUGAUUAUGGUACAUAUACUCAUAUGUUCAUCUUUUUCUCCAUUUUUAACAAAUUUCAUAAAAUUUUAAAUUGUGAUUGUGUUUAAGGUAUAUUCGGUUAGGUAAAGAGACACAAGGGUUUAUAAAUCAGAAUUUCAUAAACAGCUUACACUUAAAGUUGGAACAAUAUGAUUAUUACCUUGUAGACAGGUCCAAAGCCACCUUCCCCAAGUUUACAAUUGUUAGAGAAGUUGUUGGUGGCAUUAGCAAUAGUUCUGAAGUCAAAGAACGGUAAAUCUUCCUUCUCAUAAUCCACUUCAUUUUCAAGCAUUUCUCCUGUAAAUUAAUGAGAGAAUACAUAGUAGUGAAACCAAGGCCUCUGAAGCGAGUAAUCUCAUAAUAUGUUUAUAUGUACCUUCUGUAUUUUGCUUUCUGUGCUUGCAUACUCGCCACACGUAGCAGCCAAAUACUACUACUGAAAUUAUUAUAAUGGGCAAGACUACCAUUAGUGCAAUUCGCCUUGCUUUGGAACUACUACUUGCACCUGAAAAACAAAAACAAUAUUAAUUUUUCCAUCUGAUAAUAAUGACCUGCAAGUAUAAGGCUCUAGUUACUGGUCAUAUAUGUUUUACCUGAUCCAGUUGCAGCAAAUCGUACAUAAAAUUCUUGCGCAUUCUGUCCUUGAUUUCUGAUAUCAAUUAGGCCACCGAACCAAAGCAAGCAUCCACUUCCUUUUCCAGUAAUAUUUGUAUUUGCAUAUGCUGUACAAGAGCAGUCCUUGAGGCACUUCUUCUCACAAUCCCUAAGGUUCAUGCUGAAAUCAUAUUGCGAUUUGUGUGUAUCUGGCAAUUUCUUGUUUAGUUGCUUCACAAAAUUAUCCCUAUUACUGCAAUUAAAUUUUGUCACUGGGACGCACCCCUCUGUAAAAUUUAAACGACUCCAAGAGGUAAGAUUUUUGGGUUGAUAUCCUUCUAAACACUCACAACGAGAGGGCUUAUCAAUGUUACAGCUACCAUAUGCUCCACAGUGUGCAUAAACAUCACAGUUAUCUGCCUGGAGAAAUAUAGACUGCUCCCACAAAUUACUUUG
rnacentral:lncRNA from 1 species